UCAAGCAUAAUGCCUGUACAAAUUGUGGACUUUAUUAUACCAGGAUGGGUGGCAGUUGGUGGGGGUGUAUGUUCAUUCUAUUUAAGGGUGUUAUGGUAAUUAUCUUUUUAAUAUAAUAUGACAUGAACAUCUACUAAAUAGAGAUUGAGUACUAACUAGACAUUAAGUAUAAGGGUUUGUUCAAGAAGAUCUUUAUUUUUUUAACUGAAAUUACACUACAGAAAUUAUCACCAACAUCUUAGCAGCAAAAGGAACAUACACUUUUAACUUAUAUGGAUAUAGUGGUGCUGAAUGGGACGACUGUGAUUCAACAUGGCGGCGACCAUGCAAAAAAGUUUAUUGGAGGCUCUGGAUGCGAUUCGAACACAUGAAAUUGAGACGACAACUCGUUUGGUGUCAUGGUCUUCGCUUAAAGGAUUUGGAAAUCUUGGGGAGAGUUCAGGAUCAGACGUUAGAGAGGGCAUACCUAAGGGGCGUACUCCGCUCCCCAAGAGAGGGCAUACCUAAGGGGCGUACUCCGCUCCCCAAGAGAGGACAUACCAAAGGUGCGUACCCCUCCCCCAAAGGGUCCGCUAGACGUAAGCAAUUUGUGAAGAAAUCAGAAAGACAUACAAGUGAACAUAACACAUCGGUGGCCUUCAAGUAGUGGUGAUAUUGACUUCAUGGCACAUAUUCAAGGAUUGCGUUCUGCUACAAGACUGGAGAAAAUAUUUUUUUUCUUAGUUUUAUGGCAUGUAUGCUUUUCUUGUUUUCAACAAAUAUCACACGGAUGAUGGAUACAUUUUCACCAGUAUUGGAAAUUGUUGGAAGACGAGGAAACUGUUGUUUAUUUACGGAUGAAGAAACAUCAAGAGGACAUAAUUAAAGGAAGUUGCGCUGUUUGAAUUUGUUGUUUUCAUGAGUUCAUGUCGCCUGCACAUGAUGGCAUUUGAAAGGUGUAGUUUAUUAGUUUCCACUCCUUUGAGAUAGAAUGCAAACUUUGACGACUUUAGUGAUGGGGCAUGUGCCGGGUGUGCCAUCCCCCCUCCCACGGAACCGUUUGUGUUAACUGUUGGUCAUUGCAAUUGCUCAUUGAUCUGUGAUAGACUGCAGACUGUGAGCAAAAAUUAUUGAUUGGCAAUUGAAGCCAAUUCUAUUUCUUUCUCACUUACACUUGUUUGAUCAAUGUACUUUUCUUUAUAUUAUCAAAGAAC